rnacentral:rRNA from 1 species
AUUGAACGCUGGCGGCAUGCCUAACACAUGCAAGUCGAGCGAGCGGCGGACGGGUGAGUAAUGUCUGGUAAACUGCCUGAUGGAGGCGGAUCACUACUGGAAACGGUAGCUAAUACCGCAUACCAUCAGAUGUCCCCUGCUGGGAUUGGCUAGUAGGUGGGGUAACGGCUCACCGAGGCGACGAUCCGUAGCUGAUCUGAGAGGAUGACCCGCCCAACGGGAACUGAGACACGAUCCAGACUCCUACGGUAGGCAGCAGUGGGGAAUAGGGCGCAAUGGGCGAAAGCCUGACGCAGCAAUGCCGCGUGGGUGAAGAAGGCCUUCGGGUUGUAAAGCACUUUCAUCAGGGAGGCGUUACCCGCAGAAGAAGCACCGGCUAACUACGUGCCAGCAGCCGCGGUAAUUC